UAAAGAGAGUCGAAAACUUCUCACAUGAAAAGAGGUCGGAGGAAUCCAUGGUAAUCUUUAGCGGUACUAUCUUGAUUAGAUAGCGAGGUAGUGAGAGAGGACUCACUCAACAGAGGUCUCAGUUCCGUAAGGUAAGGCUGAAUCAAAAGGGUAACCUCUUCACGCAAGGGUUGGGAUAAAGGCUGGUGAAUGUGCUUCUUUCAUCGAAUUAUUCAACCAACUUUCACCGGUC
rnacentral:lncRNA from 1 species